AGGUAGCGAAAUUCCUUGUCGGGUAAGUUCCGACCUGCACGAAUGGCGUAACGAUCUCCACACUGUCUCGGCCAGAGACUCGGUGAAAUUGCAGUCGCGGUGAAAAUUCCGUGUACCCGCAGAAAGACGGAAAGACCCUGUGCACCUUUACUAUAGCUUGACAUUGGAUUUUGGGCCUGCAUGUGUAGGAUAGGUGGGAGGCUGUGAACCCUGUACGCCAGUAUGGGGGGAGCCAUCCUUGAAAUACCACCCUUGCAUGUUUAAGAUCCUAACUUCUUCCGGUUAUCCCGGAGAAAGACAGUGUCUGGCGGGUAGUUUGACUGGGGCGGUCGCCUCCUAAAGUGUAACGGAGGCAUGCAAAGGUUCCCUCAGCCUGAUCGGAAACCAGGCGCUGAGUGCAAACGCAUAAGGGAGCUUGACUGUAAGAGAGACAUCUCGAACAGGAACGAAAGUUGGCGUUAGUGAUCCGGUGGUCCCGUAUGGAAGGGCCAUCGCUCAUUGGAUAAAAGGUACGCCGGGGAUAACAGGCUGAUCGCAUCCAAGAGUUCACAUCGACGAUGCGGUUUGGCACCUCGAUGUCGGCUCAUCACAUCCUGGGGCUGAAGCAGGUCCCAAGGGUACGGCUGUUCGCCGUUUAAAGUGGUACGCGAGCUGGGUUUAAAACGUCGUGAGACAGUUUGGUCCCUAUCUUCUGUGGGCGAAGGAGAAUUGAGAGGGCCUGUCCCUAGUACGAGAGGACCGGGAUGGACGCACCCCUGGUGAUCCUGUUGUCGCGCCAGCGGCAUAGCAGGGUAGCUAUGUGCGGAAGGGAUAACCGCUGAAAGCAUCUAAGCGGGAAGCCUGCCUCAAGAUAAGUUCUCCCCUCGAAAGAGCUGAAGGGCCCGGGUAGACUACCCGGUCGAUAGGCUGGAGGUGUAAGCGCGGCGACGUGCUCAGCUGACCAGUACUAAUAGCCCGAGCGGCUUAUUUUU
rnacentral:rRNA from 1 species